UACGAAGGGGCUAGCGUUGUUCGGAUUUACUGGGCGUAAAGCGCACGUAGGCGGAUCGUUAAGUCGGGGUGAAAUCCUGGAGCUCAACUCCAGAACUGCCUUCGAUACUGGCGAUCUUGAGUCCGGAAGAGGUGAGUGGAACUCCUAGUGUAGAGGUGGAAUUCGUAGAUAUUAGGAAGAACACCAGUGGCGAAGGCGGCUCACUGGUCCGGUACUGACGCUGAGGUGCGAAAGCGUGGGAGCGAACAGG
rnacentral:rRNA from 1 species